GGGGGUAGUAGGAGUGGGGUGGGGCCGAGGCAUUUCCCAGCACAGCUCAAUCACAUCUCCUGCGCCUGCCCUUGUGACCUGCUCACUGGAAAGGAAGAAAUGACCGAGGGAGAAGGGAGGGCAUUUGAGGUGGAAUCAGAGGUUUCUGGCUGACUCGGUGGGUGCUUUGAACCAGGAAAGGACAAGAAAGAGGAUGGGAAGGACUGAUCCACAUUCCCACCAGGAAGUUUAGCAGAACCCCCGCGUGCCACCUGGACCCCUUGGAAGGACCUGGCUCAGGCUGGACCACCUCUUGAGAGGCAGGAGCUCUGGAUUUGAUCAAGAAUUCUUUGCUGAGCAUGGUGCCUCAUGCCUAUAAUCCCAACACUUUGGGAGGCCAGUGUGGGAGGAUCUCUUGAGCCCAGGAGUUCAAGACUAGCCUGGGCAACACAGAGAGACCCCAUCUCUAAAAUAAUAAUAAUAAUAAAAUAAAAAAUUAGCAGGGCAUGGUGGCAUGUGCCUGUAGUCCCAGCUACCCAGGAGGCUGAGGCAAGAGGAUGGCUGGAGCCUGGGAUGUUGAGGCUGCAAUGAACUGUGAUUACCCCACUGCACUCCAGCCUGGGCAAAAGAGCGAGAGACCCUGUCUCAAAUAAUAAUAAUAAUAAUAAUCUUAUUUUGGAGAAUAAAGAGACCUCUGGAUUUGAGGUGCCAUUUGGGUAGAAAGAAAAGACGUUUACACCGAGAAAUAGUCUGUGUUGCCCUGAAGGAGCAGAGGGAUGCAUCGCUGGAGGUGACCUACAGUUGAAGAAGACUCAUUAUGACAGACCUUGUCCUUCUUCCUUGUGGAAAGUGUUUCCUCUGCUGCUACUGCUCAUGAGACUCUUCCCCCUCCCUGUCCCAGGGAACCAAAGGGCUUUCUACCACACCCUUUCUUGCCCCCCGCCUCCCAUGUCUGCUGUGCCUUUGUACUCAGCAAUUCUUGUUUGCUCCAUUAUCUUCCAGCCGGAUACAGAGUGAAUAGUUAACCACACUUAGGUCAAAUAGGAUCUAAAUUUUUGUUCCUGCUCCGUGUAAAGAGGCCAGUGUUUGUGUGUUGCAAGCAGCCUUGGAAUAGUAACUCUUCUCAUUUGUUUGGGAUCUGGCCACCAAGUUCCAGAAUGAUACACGGAUCAGUGCAGAAGUUCAUCAGGCUCUCGGACCUUAGGGCUGUUGGAGAAGGCUUCAGCAGCAGAACUGAUGGUGAAGGCUCGUGUUCUCCAUCCUCAACUUUCUUUGCUUCGAUCAUACACAAGAAUACAUUUGGAAGGGCAAAAAAUGAACACUGUCGUUCAUUGCAGCCGUGUUUUGUGACACAGAUGCACAGUCUGCUGUGAAGACCUUCUCUCAAGUGGCAUUUGGGAGUCCAUGCCAGAUCAUGGUGCUUCAUGAGAGACUGACAGCUAUCAGGGGUUGUGGCACUUAGUGAGGACUCUCCUCCCCCAGUGUGUGCUGAUGACACAUACACACCUGACAAUAGCUUGAGUCUUCUCUGUUCCUUUUACUCUGUAGCCAACAUACACAUGAUUUAAAACCCUUUCUAAAUAUCUAUCAUGGUUCAUCCUUGUCCAAAUGCAGAGUCAGAGCUAUUUGUACUUCAUUAUUAUUUCCAAGGCGAAUAGUUGGCUUUCUUUUUGCAAAAAUAAUUAAAGUUUUUGUAUGUUGCA
ensembl:lncRNA LINC00511 long intergenic non-protein coding RNA 511